GGGGGACCCUGCGCUAGGGCCGCCGGUGGCUCCGGUGUCCCGGCAGGAGGAGGUUCCCCCUGCCCGGAGCGCGAGUGCGGGAUCGCUCCUCCGGAGCCGUGCCCCGGGCGGAGCCCGGACUGCCGUGCUGAUGUUUCGGCGUUGAGGUAAUGGCAGAAGUCGGUCUGUGUGGCACGGCCGGAGGUCCGGAGCACGGUCUGCCGUGAUCUGCGCCGGGAUGGGGAACAGCGGCUCGGCCGUGAAGGUCUGCACGGAUCACCAAGGCGGCAUCAACUGGCUGAGCCUGAGCCCCGACGGGCAGCGGCUGCUGACGGGCAGCGAGGACGGCACGGCGCGGCUCUGGAGCACCGCGGACAGCCAGUGCCGCGGGCACCUCCAAGGACAUGAAAGUUACAUCACCUUUUGCCACUUGGAGAACGAGGCCGCCUUCACGUGCAGCGCUGACCACACCAUUCGCAAGUGGGACGUGGCCACCGGGCAGUGCUUGGCCAUUUACCGAGGCCACACAUCCAUUGUCAACAGAAUCCUGGUUGCUAAAGACUAUCUCUUCAGUGGCUCCUAUGACAGGACAGCCCGCUGCUGGAGCGUGGACAAGGAGAAACAAAUCCAGGAAUUCCGGGGCCAUCGGAACUGUGUCCUGACCCUAGCUCACUAUUCCUCCAGGGAUGUGCUGGAGGAAGAGGAGGAGGAAGAGGAGCAGGAGGAGAAAGUGAGCAGGGACCUGCUGGUGACAGGGAGCACGGACUGCACUGUGAAGGUCUGGUGGGUGUCCAGCGGGCGCUGCUACCAGACCCUGCUGGGACACACUGGGGCUGUCUUAUGCCUUAUACUUGAUGCACCAAACAGGGAGCUGUUCUCUGGCAGCACGGAUUACACCAUCAGGACCUGGAAUAUUGUCACUGGAGAGCAGCUGAAAGUCUUCAAAGAGCACCAAGGAUCAGUAAUUUGCCUAGAGCUGGUGAAUCGUCACCUGUACUCGGGGAGCGCGGACAGGACGGUGAAGUGCUGGUUUGUAGACACUGGGGAGCGGAUCCAGACCUACAAGGCUCACAAACACAGCGUUAGCACUUUGAAAUACCACGCUGGCAUCUUGUUCACAGGAAGUGGUGAUGCCUGUGCAAGAGCUUUCAAUUCCAGGAGCGGAGUCUUGCAGAAGAUCUUCCGAGGACACAAGUUCAUCAUCAACUGUAUCCAGAUCCACAACGAGCUGCUCUACACAGCUUCCCACGAUGGCACACUGCGGAUCUGGGACAUCCGGGGCAUAUGCAAGAGAAAUAAGCGGCGCUUGAAGAAGGAGAGGUCUGUGCAGGGCAGGAGCUCCCAGAAGGGGAGUCUGUCUCGUCUCUUCAACAAUAAAGUUGGCUGUAUGAUACAGCAGGAGAAUGGGGAACAUGAGGCUGUUGAACUGAUGUGACUGUCCAGAGCAGGCUUUAUGUCAGUGACCAAAGCUGAACCUUUUAUUUUCUGCACCACUGUGUCCAUGUAAACCAGAACUUGGAAAGAGAUGGGAAGUGGCUUUGCCUGAAUCUCUGUGUGAGGAGCCAGGAUUCUCUGUGGCUGCCAGAUGGACUCAGGUCAGAUCCCGUGGCUGUGAUGACGCAGCUGAGCAGCUCUGGGGUCGGGAGGCAGCGUGGUUCAGGUGAGGUAGCACUGUGUGACUGCAAUUAGGGACUUUCCUUACCACUGCUGACAUCAGUUCCCUGGGCACAGAGGUGGCUGCCUGGUGUCUAAUGAGAUGUUUUCCCGUUCCUGUUGCCCCCUCCCAUGACCCCUGUCCAGCCCAGUGUGGCAGUGAAAGGUGGCCUUGAAUUCCACCUUCACAGCUGCCCUUCGGGUCAGUCGUUGGCUGACAAGGCCAAAGCAGGAGGGUUUGGCUCUGCAGCAGGAUUUUAAAGCAGACUGGACAUCUCUGUGAAGCUGGGAGUAGUAGGACAGAAAUUAAUUUAAUUGGUUUUUUUAACAAAACAUAGGCCACAGAGCAAGCUAAACCUCAGCCCUUUUGUGCCAAGGUUGUUUGUGCCUUUUGUGUCACCUGUUUGCUGACCUUGUGUUGUCUUUCCUCCUCCCAAAGUUGUGUCUUGCUAGGUUGUCAGUAGCAUUGGAUAAGCAGUCAAACUCAAGAGUUUUCCCAGUCUUUUUCCAGGUUCAUUCUUCUCUGAUAACCACUGAGCCAUGAAUUAACAAGGGUUCUUAUAUUUUUCUAUUUGCAGAUAUAACUCUUUGUAGAACCAUUACAAAAAUAUCUAACCACAUGUUUUUAUUUUUAUGGCUUUAUUUAUUCUGUACUACAGCAAGAUAAAAAUGCUGUAAUCCUUUUUUAGAAUGGAUUAAUAAACAUGUGGCAUCUCCAGACAACUACCUGUCUAGUUUUCAUUUUUGUCUUAU